CAGCACCUCAAGUGGUCAGGAUGAUUAUUGGGCCUAAAGCAUCCGUAGCCGGCUCUGUAAGUUUUCGGUUAAAUCUGUACGCUCAACGUACAGGCUGCCGGGAAUACUGCAGAGCUAGGGAGUGGGAGAGGUAGACGGUACUCGGUAGGAAGGGGUAAAAUCCUUUGAUCUAUUGAUGACCACCUGAGGCGAAGGCGGUCUACCAGAACACGUCCGACGGUGAGGGAUGAAAGCUGGGGGAGCAAACCGGAUUAGAUACCCGAGUAGUCC
rnacentral:rRNA from 1 species